rnacentral:misc_RNA from 1 species
CAAAUUUCAAUCCCAGCUUUAAUGCCAAGGACGUCUAAUCCUUUAAGGAAUGGUUCCAGCACAGAAACACUAGAUACUUGGAUGUGAUUUUUGAGAUUCUAAGCACCCAAGAUGAGGUGGAUAAGCUUGCUUGCGAUUGGGUCUUUGCCUCAUUAAGUCAUUGGUUCUGGUGAUGCUUUAUCAUGGCAAUGGCAAGAAUGAUG